GUCAAUGUUUUGAAAGCAAACAGAACAAGUUACAACCUUUGCAACUUUUUGUUUACCUUUUUUUCCAUAUUGAGCUAUAAAAUUUCUUUAUCUAUUUUCUCUAAGUUUGAAUUGUUCCUGUUUUUUGAUUGAUUUCAUUCCAGAUAUGUUUACAAGGUUUGACCUUUUAAACAAUGCAGGAAGGGUACAACACAAUGCGGUUGGGGUUAGUCAAAACACGCUGGGGUUGAAACGGGCUAUAUUUUUUAGUACGGGUGGAUGCAGGCCGGACUGGAUUGUGCUGGCCCAUUUACAAUUGUUUAUAAGUUAAUAUAUAUAUACCUGAAUAUUCUAUCUUAUGAAUAUUAAUCUUCAUGCACUAAAUGUCAUAAGGUGAUCGGAACGAGAUAAAAUGACCCAUGUAACCGGAAUUUAAUUUACAAAUAAUAGUUUUGUUAUCUUUUUUUAUUUCUCAGUUGCUAAUGUUUAUUCCUCCAUUUAAUGUACAGGAAAUGAGAGAAAUUUGAGGAGUCAUAUAAUGUAAAUGCUCUUUUCAAAUGGUGACAAUUGCUGGAAUGGUCCUGAUAGAAGUUCCCUGGGUGCUGUGGCUCGUGAUCGAAAUGAACAGGAAUUUACCAGGUGUAUGUAUUCCCGCGGGGAGUUUUCAGUCGCUUCUUGUCGGGAUUUUCUUGGGAAACAUGUGAUUUCAUUCUACCCAUACGAGUGGGUUAAACGGGUUCCAAAAAUAUUAAUUUCUUUGCGUGGAGAGCCGAACAAGACCGUUUUUCUACACUCAACGGGCUGUGCAGAAAAGGAAUAUGCUUAGAGGUCCGAUUUCAUAUCGACUAUGCGGGGAGGUGGAUGAAGAUGAUGACCAUCGAAUUUAUGGAGACAUACAGGCAAGUGUUAGUGAAAUCUAAGUCCGAUCUGGCAAGGCCUUUUGAUGAAGCUACUGUUUUUUCUCAAGAAUAUUGAAACAUAGCUUAGUUUUAUAAGUAAAGGUACAGGGAAGCUAUGAAUGGUCCAGGUUGUGAAGCUAUCCACAUGACUAAAAUUGAUGCGAAUAUCGAUUGUUAUAUUUUCAUAGCUCGUGUUGAUCUAUCUGUAUUCCAUCCUUGGUGCUCAUCUUUACCAGUUACAGAGAAUGAUAUAAGUCAUCAUUUUAUGUCCAAUGUUCGUGUUUGCAGUUCUUCAGAUUCAAAUAAAUUAAAGCUCGAGAAUUUUGCUUUCUUGCCAAAGAUUAUUUUUGAAAAAUAUGAAGAGUUCAUGUAUCCUCACCAAAGAGAUUGAAGUGACAAAUAGCUUGUAGAACAAACCACUUAUGUAAGGUAAUUUGAAACAUGAAAGGAGUUUCUACAGCAGUGACUGAAGAACCCAAGUUUGUUGGUUUAUUGACUUGUAGUGAAAAAUGAAGCGCGUAUUAAAGCCUGCAAACGUGAAUUAAGAUUGUAUUCAAGAUUAAGUCCAUAACCUGCAACUCACCACUUUGAGAAAUUUGCAUAGUGAAAGGGCAAAAUGGUCUUUUAUUACGAAUCACAAAAAAAAAUCUUUGUAUUGUAGUGAAAGAGACAUGAUAUUGUAUCCGAAUUG